AUCUGAAACAAUUUUAGACUAAACGUAAUAUUUAGCUAGUAAAACAGGAAAGAGAGACCCUGGCAUAACUUUAAGGCGAAACAAAAAUUGCUAACGGUUCGCCUUAAAGUAAUGUUUGGUCACGUGAUUAAAGGUCAAACCGUUUCGCGGGAAUCAACAUGGCGAACGAGAUGACACCCACGGCACCGGACUCGGUGCAAUGUCCGGUUUGUUUUAAAGACUUUAAGGCCGCCACAAUCAACGGACAUCUCGACGUCUGUCUGCAGAAGACGGUUAUCGACGGCAGCCCGUCGGCGAAAGACGAAAGCGAACCUCCUUUGAAGAAAUCUCGCAUUAGUGGGGAGGCUGCAACACCAACUGCCACUGUCAACAGACCUGUGGCCAGCUCCACCUCCUCCUUCUCCAUGGCUGGUACACCGUCAUCUUCGGUACUUUCGUUUUUUCAGCCCAACAAGAGCAAAGUUUCAGCUCAAAGCGAGUGUAGUGGGUCAAGUUCAGGUAAACAGACACCUGCCAGUAGGGGAUUAAAACGUAAUGUGCCGAGCGAGGCGGAACCAGGACCAGCAGGUCCAGAGAGCCAGGCCUCUGGAUCAGACCAACAGACUUUGAAGUCAUCCAAAGAUUUAUCUGCACGGACACUUCUGACGAUAAACAAGCCUCUGGCGGAAACACUGAGACCAAACACACUGGAGGAAUACUUCGGUCAAAAUAAAGUUGUGGGGCAGCACACACUCCUGCGGUCCCUCCUGGAAACCCAAGAAAUACCAUCCCUGAUCCUGUGGGGGCCGCCGGGAUGCGGGAAGACCACACUAGCUCACAUAAUUUCCAGCGGCAGUAAAAAGAAGGGAACGACUCGUUUUGUCACUUUGUCUGCCACCAGUGCGUCCACCAGUGACGUCAGGGAGGUGAUCAAGCAGGCGCAGAAUGAGCUCCGACUGUGCAAGAGGAAGACCAUCCUGUUCAUUGAUGAAAUUCAUCGCUUCAACAAAUCCCAACAGGACACCUUCCUUCCUCACGUGGAGUGCGGGACGGUAACUUUGAUCGGAGCAACCACAGAAAAUCCGUCCUUCCAGGUGAACGCUGCCCUGCUGAGCAGAUGCAGGGUGCUAGUUCUGGAGAAGCUCUCAGUGGAGGCAAUGGCUUCGAUCCUGGACAGGGCUCUGGCCACACUGGGGAUCAAAGUCCUGGAACGCGAUGCAGCGAAUUCCAAAGAUCAAGACCAGUCAGAUGAACAGGAGCCAAAGAUUUUCAUUGAACAAAAAGCUCUGGACACCAUUGCCUUCCUUUGUGAUGGUGACGCAAGGACAGGCCUCAACAGUCUGCAGCUGGCUGUUCAGGCUCAGGUGAGCUUGGCCCGGCCCAACCAGCUAGAUGGAUCUCAGGAAAUUUUGGUGAAGGAGGAGCACAUCAAGGAAGGCCUUCAGAGGUCCCACAUUCUCUAUGAUAAAGCUGGUGAAGAGCAUUACAACUGUAUCUCAGCAUUGCAUAAGUCGAUGAGAGGCUCAGAUGAGAAUGCGUCUCUGUACUGGCUCGGCCGCAUGCUGGAGGGCGGAGAGGAUCCUCUAUAUGUGGCUCGCAGAUUGGUCCGCUUUGCCAGCGAGGAUGUGGGUAUGGCAGAUCCCUCUGCUCUUCCUCAGGCCGUGUCCGCCUUCCAAGCCUGUCACUUCAUCGGCAUGCCUGAGUGUGAGGUGAUCCUGGCUCAGUGUGCGGUCUAUCUGGCACGAGCACCCAAGUCUGUGGCCAUCUACAAGGCGUAUGCUAAUGUAAAGGCCAGUUUGAGGAACCACAAAGGCCCCCUGCCUUCUGUCCCUCUGCACCUUCGCAACGCCCCCACUCGGCUGAUGAAACAACUCGGCUACGCUAAGGGCUACAAAUACAACCCAGCCUUCAACGGCCCUGUAGAGCAGCAAUACUUACCAGAGGAGCUGCAGGGAAUCGACUUCUUCACCUGGACACCUACAGAACCAUGAUGAUCUGCUGUAAAGACUGACACGGCUCGCUGUAGGUUAAAAACCAAACCGAAUGGAUGAAAGCAUUUAUGGGAUUAUGGCAGUUCGUGUGGUUCUCCUCACCUCACUGAUCCAGGGGAUGAAAGUGGCCACACGGGUGAAGACAGUUGGCUUCUGAGGGGUGUUACAGCCUCGUCCGUCCACAAAACUAGUCACUCCCUGUACGUACCACUUACCAUCUGUGCCCUUACAGUUCAGAGGGCCUCCGGAGUCGCCCUGGAAGAUAAUGGCAGACAUUAGAGCAAAAUAAAAUGUUUUUUUGCUUCAAGCAAAGAAUGGA